rnacentral:rRNA from 1 species
CCUACGGGAGGCAGCAGUGGGGAAUAUUGCGCAAUGGGGGAAACCCUGACGCAGCAACGCCGCGUGAGUGAGGAAGGACUUCGGUCUGUAAAGCUCUGUUAAUGUGGAAAAAUGGUAGUUGGUCUAAUAGGCCGAUUAUUUGAUGGUACACAUAGAGGAAGCACCGGCUAACUUCGUGCCAGCAGCCGCGGUAAUACGAAGGGUGCAAGCGUUGUUCGGAUUUAUUGGGCGUAAAGCGCGCGUAGGCGGACCUGUAAGUCAGAUGUGAAAUCUCGGGGCUCAACCUCGAAACUGCGUCUGAAACUGCAGGUCUAGAAUCUCGGAGGGGGAAGGGGAAUUUCGCAUGUAGGGGUAAAAUCCGUAGAUAUGCGAAGGAACACCAGAGGCGAAGGCGCCUUCCUGGACGAGUAUUGACGCUGAGGCGCGAAAGCGUGGGGAUCAAACAGGAUUAGAUACCCUGGUAGUCCACGCUGUAAACUAUGAACACUAGGUAUUGGAGGAUUUGACCCUUCAGUGCCGUAGCUAACGCGUUAAGUGUUCCGCCUGGGAAGUACGGUCGCAAGACUAAAACUUAAAGGAAAUUGGUUAGGCGUGAGACGUUGCCGACGGACGACGACGAGGGAGGAGG